AAGGACUGGUGGAGUGCUUAGAAGUGAGAAUGCCGGUAUGAGUAGCGAAAGACGGGUGAGAAUCCCGUCCACCGAAUGCCUAAGGUUUCCUGAGGAAGGCUCGUCCGCUCAGGGUUAGUCAGGACCUAAGCCGAGGCCGACAGGCGUAGGCGAUGGACAACAGGUUGAUAUUCCUGUACCACCUCUUUAUCGUUUGAGCAAUGGAGGGACGCAGAAGGAUAGAAGAAGCGUGCGAUUGGUUGUGCACGUCCAAGCAGUUAGGCUGAUAAGUAGGCAAAUCCGCUUAUCGUGAAGGCUGAGCUGUGAUGGGGAAGCUCCUUAUGGAGCGAAGUCUUUGAUUCCCCGCUGCCAAGAAAAGCUUCUAGCGAGAUAAAAGGUGCCUGUACCGCAAACCGACACAGGUAGGCGAGGAGAGAAUCCUAAGGUGUGCGAGAGAACUCUGGUUAAGGAACUCGGCAAAAUGACCCCGUAACUUCGGGAGAAGGGGUGCUUUCUUAACGGAAAGCCGCAGUGAAUAGGCCCAAGCGACUGUUUAGCAAAAACACAGCUCUCUGCGAAGCCGUAAGGCGAAGUAUAGGGGGUGACACCUGCCCGGUGCUGGAAGGUUAAGGAGAGGGGUUAGCGUAAGCGAAGCUCUGAACUGAAGCCCCAGUAAACGGCGGCCGUAACUAUAACGGUCCUAAGGUAGCGAAAUUCCUUGUCGGGUAAGUUCCGACCCGCACGAAAGGUGUAACGAUUUGGGCACUGUCUCAACCAGAGACUCGGUGAAAUUAUAGUACCUGUGAAGAUGCAGGUUACCCGCGACAGGACGGAAAGACCCCGUGGAGCUUUACUGUAGCCUGAUAUUGAAUUUUGGUACAGUUUGUACAGGAUAGGCGGGAGCCAUUGAAACCGGAGCGCUAGCUUCGGUGGAGGCGCUGGUGGGAUACCGCCCUGACUGUAUUGAAAUUCUAACCUACGGGUCUUAUCGACCCGGGAGACAGUGUCAGGUGGGCAGUUUGACUGGGGCGGUCGCCUCCUAAAGUGUAACGGAGGCGCCCAAAGGUUCCCUCAGAAUGGUUGGAAAUCAUUCGUAGAGUGCAAAGGCAUAAGGGAGCUUGACUGCGAGACCUACAAGUCGAGCAGGGACGAAAGUCGGGCUUAGUGAUCCGGUGGUUCCGCAUGGAAGGGCCAUCGCUCAACGGAUAAAAGCUACCCCGGGGAUAACAGGCUUAUCUCCCCCAAGAGUCCACAUCGACGGGGAGGUUUGGCACCUCGAUGUCGGCUCAUCGCAUCCUGGGGCUGUAGUCGGUCCCAAGGGUUGGGCUGUUCGCCCAUUAAAGCGGUACGCGAGCUGGGUUCAGAACGUCGUGAGACAGUUCGGUCCCUAUCCGUCGUGGGCGUAGGAAAUUUGAGAGGAGCUGUCCUUAGUACGAGAGGACCGGGAUGGACGCACCGCUGGUGUACCAGUUGUUCUGCCAAGGGCAUAGCUGGGUAGCUAUGUGCGGAAGGGAUAAGUGCUGAAAGCAUCUAAGCAUGAAGCCCCCCUCAAGAUGAGAUUUCCCAUAGCGUAAGCUAGU
rnacentral:rRNA from 2 species